ensembl:snRNA U6 U6 spliceosomal RNA
UUGCUUCAGAAGCACAUGUACUAAAAUUGGAGUAUACAGAGAAAAUUAGCAUGACCCCUGUGCAAGGAUGACCUGCAAAUUUGUGAAGUAUUGAAUAUUCAA